CGCACUCACAGUUCCUGCCGCCGCAUCCUUAACCGCCGCGGCUGCUAUAGCUACGGGGAGCCAAGGCAACCAGCUCUCGCGACACUUUCCUCAGCUAACGGCGAGAACAGCCGAGAAGAACAUCUAGCAAGAAACUCUGUGGACACAUCCUUAAUUCCUGACUCACAAAACUUAGUUGUAGGGCUUUCUCUAUGCUCUCAGACAACUGUAAAUGCAGACUGAGAAGCAUCUGGAACAGAAGAUGGAUUUAAAGAACGUAGUGGAGGUUGGUUGGAAAGUAGUGAGUUAUUUUAAUUGGUUGUUCACAGUCAGUUACAGAUCGAACUUACUCUCUUUUCCUCCUUCUCACUACUGCACUGGACUUAAAAACAGAACAACAACAACAACAGCAACAAAAGUUGGUGAACAAGGAAGAGUAAAACAGGAAGUAAUGUUUUGGAAUUUUCCCCCCAACUUUAAGGGUAGGCGCUUAAUUAUUUUAUGGUUAACUGAAAUCUCUAUGUCUCAUGAAGGUUAUGUGUCUUUGUACAGCUGAUGUCUCACACAAUACCUGGUAUACAGUAGGCACUCAAUAAACAUUUGUUAAAGGAA